ACAUUGUCCUGGCUGGGAUAAUUCAGUCGGUGUUAGUCCUGCUUUGAGAGCAGGAGGUUGGACUAGAUGACCUCCUGAGGGCCCUUACAACCCUGAU